GUUUGACCUGCAUUAAGCAGCCCAACAAUCAAGUGAUUGCGAGUAUAGUAAGUUUGGAUGAAUACCUCAGUUGUGCGAUUCCUUGUAAAGGGUAAAUGGAUAUGAGAGCUUCUUAGUAUGAAACAUCAGCGGACCAGAUCCUUGCCAUGAAGUUCUGAAAUAACUUCAGCUGCUUUUAGCAUUUUUCCAUUCACCAAUAGACCACGAAGG
rnacentral:misc_RNA from 1 species